UACGGAGGGGACUAGCGUUGUUCGGAAUUACUGGGCGUAAAGCGCACGUAGGCGGAUUGUUUAGUCAGGGGUGAAAUCCCGAGGCUCAACCUCGGAACUGCCUUUGAUACUGGCAAUCUCGAGUCCGGAAGAGGUGAGUGGAAUUCCUAGUGUAGAGGUGAAAUUCGUAGAUAUUAGGAAGAACACCAGUGGCGAAGGCGGCUCACUGGUCCGGUACUGACGCUGAGGUGCGAAAGCGUGGGGAGCGAACGA
rnacentral:rRNA from 1 species